rnacentral:rRNA from 1 species
GACGAACGCUGGCGGCGUGCCUAAUACAUGCAAGUAGAACGCACAGUUUAUACCGUAGCUUGCUACACCAUAGACUGUGAGUUGCGAACGGGUGAGUAACGCGUAGGUAACCUGCCUGGUAGCGGGGGAUAACUAUUGGAAACGAUAGCUAAUACCGCAUAAUAUUGAUUAUUGCAUGAUAAUUGAUUGAAAGAUGCUAUUGCAUCACUACCAGAUGGACCUGCGUUGUAUUAGCUAGUAGGUGAGGUAACGGCUCACCUAGGCGACGAUACAUAGCCGACCUGGGAGGGUGAUCGGGCAAACUGGGACUGGGACAAGGCCCAGACCCCUACGGGAGGCAGCAGGAGGGAAUCUUCGGCAAUGGACGAAAGUCUGACCGAGCAACGCCGCGUGAGUGAAGAAGGUUCUCGGAUCGUAAAGCUCUGUUGUAAGAGAAGAACGGGUGUGAGAGUGGAAAGUUCACACUGUGACGGUAUCUUACCAGAAAGGGACGGCUAACUACGUG